rnacentral:misc_RNA from 1 species
AAGUCGUAACAAGGUUUCCGUAGGUGAACCUGCGGAAGGAUCAUUAUCAAAAUGAUUUUAGCUUUUCCAAAAUUAAUCCUUUGGAAAGCUAACCUCUUCUAAACCAAUCUAAUUAAAAUGUGAAAUCGUUUCGUUUGUUUUUUUGAAUUUUGGAGCUUUUCUUAGUUUCAAAUUUCAUUGACAAACUUUUUUUUAACCAAUUGAACCCUUUUCUAUUUUGUUAUUUUAUUUCUAUUUAGUUCUGAAAUCUAUUAUAUUCCAAUAGCGAUAUUGGGCAUAUAAUAAGUUACAUUACGAAACAAUAUAAAUAAAACAACUCUUAGCAACGGAUAUCUUGGUUCUC